rnacentral:rRNA from 1 species
UACGUAGGUGGCAAGCGUUGUCCGGAUUUACUGGGCGUAAAGAGCGCGCAGGCGGUCGGAUAAGUCGAGUGUGAAAGCCCCUGGCUCAACCAGGGAGGGUCAUUCGAUACUGUUCGACUCGAAGGCAGGAGAGGGAAGUGGAAUUCCGGGUGUAGUGGUGAAAUGCGCAGAUAUCAGGAGGAACACCGAUGGCGAAGGCAGCUUGCUGGGACGGUACUGACGCUGAGACGCGAAAGCGUGGGGAGCAAACAGG